rnacentral:tRNA from 1 species
GUGCCUGUGGCUCAAGGGGCUAAGGCACCAGCCACAUACACUGAAGGUGGCAGGUUCGAAUCCAGCCCAGGCACG